UGGUCCUACGGGGCGCAGCAGUGGGGAAUAUUGGGCAAUGGAGGAAACUCUGACCCAGCAACGCCGCGUGAGGGAUGAAGGUCUUCGGAUCGUAAACCUCUGUCAGCAGGGAAGAACGGUCACUGUGCUAAUCAGCAGUGAAUUGACGGUACUUGCAAAGGAAGCACCGGCUAACUCCGUGCCAGCAGCCGCGGUAAUACGGAGGGUGCGAGCGUUAAUCGGAAUUACUGGGCGUAAAGCGCUCGUAGGCGGUAUGUCAAGUCAAGGGUGAAAUCCCCGCGCUCAACGUGGGAACUGCCUUUGAA
rnacentral:rRNA from 1 species